UACGUAGGGUGCGAGCGUUGUUCGGAAUUACUGGGUGUAAAGGGUCCGCAGGCGGGCGAGCAAGUCGGUGGUGAAAGUUCAUGGCUUAACUGUGAAAUUGCCUUCGAUACUGCUCGUCUUGAGUUCGAGAGAGGAUGAUGGAAUUCAUGGUGUAGCAGUGAAAUGCGUAGAGAUCAUGAAGAACACCAGUUGCGAAGGCGGUCAUCUGGCUCGAUGCUGACGCUCAGGGACGAAAGCGUGGGUAGCAAACAGG
rnacentral:rRNA from 1 species